UUUAGAUUUCGUUUCAUAUGUUCAUAUGAAGAUUGUUCUAUGGUAUUGACAAACAGGUUUCUAGCUCAAUCUGAAUGCUUUCUCAUAACACAGAUAGGUUACUAUGUAGCUCGAGCAUUCAACACGAGCACAAUACGGUGAUCAAGAAUACAAAAGCAGAAAAUCAGGAAAUUUUCAUUUUUUUUUCCAAAUUCCAUAUCAGUCUGUCGACUGUGCUCUGUUCAAUUGUGUUAGCUAUUGCGAUUGUAGAUUCCAUUUCAUGCAUUCAUGUGAAGAUUAUUCUAUGGUACUGACAAAUGGUUUUCUAGCCAAAUCUGGAAGCUUUUCAAAAAACAAACAAACAAACAGAUCAGUUACUAUGUAGCGCAGGCAUUGAAGACAAGCACAAUAAGCUUGGGCAUUGAACACAAGCACAAAAUGGUCAUCAAGAACACCAGAGCAAAGAAAAUGAGGAAAUUUUCAUUUGGGUCUUUUGAAUUCCUUGUCAAUGUUUGCUGAACGUGCUGUGCCGAAUUUGCAUUAGAUAUAGUGAUUGUAAGACUAUGGAAUGUCAAAAUUCCUCCUACACAUUUCCCAAACUACCAUCAUUGCCUAGUGCUGGUUUCAGCUGAUGUUAGAUUCUAUGAUACCUAGAUAUGGAUAUGAUUCAAUGG